rnacentral:rRNA from 1 species
AACGAACGCUGGCGGCGUGCUUAACACAUGCAAGUCGAACGCGAACGGGUUCUUCGGGACCUUAGUAGAGUGGCGCACGGGUGAGUAACGCGUAAGUUAUCUACCUCGGCAUCUGGAAUAACUCACCGAAAGGUGUGCUAAUACCGGAUACGUUGAGUAAUCAAGAAAGGUGGCCUCUGCAUAUGCUACCGUGCUGAGAUGAGCUUGCGUACCAUUAGCUAGUUGGUGGGGUAAUGGCCUACCAAGGCGACGAUGGUUAGCGGGUCUGAGAGGAUGAUCCGCCACACUGGAACUGGAACACGGACCAGACUCCUACGGGAGGCAGCAGUGAGGAAUAUUGCGCAAUGGGGGCAACCCUGACGCAGCGACGCCGCGUGGAUGAUGAAGGCCUUCGGGUCGUAAAAUCCUGUCAGGUGGAAAGAAAUGUUUAUGUGCUAAUACCAUGUAGACUUGACGGUACCACCGAAGGAAGCACCGGCUAACUCCGUGCCAGCAGCCGCCGUAAGAC